rnacentral:rRNA from 1 species
UACAGAGGGUGCAAGCGUUGUUCGGAAUUACUGGGCGUAAAGCGCGUGUAGGCGGUCUGAUAAGUCGGACGUGAAAGCCCUUGGCUUAACCAAGGAAGAGCAUCCGAUACUGUUGGACUUGAGUGUCGGAGGGGAUGGCGGAAUUCCUGGUGUAGAGGUGAAAUUCGUAGAUAUCAGGAGGAACACCUGUGGCGAAGGCGGCCAUCUGGACGACAACUGACGCUGAGACGCGAAAGCGUGGGUAGCAAACAGG